rnacentral:rRNA from 1 species
GUGAACGCUGGCGGUAGGCCUAACACAUGCAAGUCGAACGGCAGCACAGUAAGAGCUUGCUCUUACGGGUGGCGAGUGGCGGACGGGUGAGGAAUACAUCGGAAUCUACUUUUUCGUGGGGGAUAACGUAGGGAAACUUACGCUAAUACCGCAUACGACCUACGGUGAAAGCAGGGGAUCUUUGGACCUUGCGCGAUUGAAUGAGCCGAUGUCGGAUUAGCUAGUUGGCGGGGUAAAGGCCCACCAAGGCGACGAUCCGUAGCUGGUCUGAGAGGAUGAUCAGCCACACUGGAACUGAGACACGGUCCAGACUCCUACGGGAGGCAGCAGUGGGGAAUAUUGGACAAUGGGCGCAAGCCUGAUCCAGCCAUACCGCGUGGGUGAAGAAGGCCUUCGGGUUGUAAAGCCCUUUUGUUGGGAAAGAAAAGCAGCAGGUUAAUACCCCGCUGUUCUGACGGUACCCAAAGAAUAAGCACCGGCUAACUUCGUG